UACAGAGGUCCCAAGCGUUGUUCGGAUUUACUGGGCGUAAAGGGUGCGUAGGUGGCGGGGUAAGUCUGGUGUGAAAUCUCCGAGCUCAACUCGGAAAAGCAUUGGAAACUAUCCCGCUAGAGGGUCGGAGGGGAGACUGGAAUUAUCGGUGUAGCAGUGAAAUGCGUGGAUAUCGAUAGGAACACUUACGGCGUAGGCAGGAUCCUGGACAAAUGUUGACGCUCAUGCACGAAGGCUAGGGUAGCGAACGGG
rnacentral:rRNA from 1 species